UAGAAAGAUGGGACUCGAACCCACACCUAAAAACUCAAAAUCUUUAGCACUCCCAUUACACUACUUCCU
rnacentral:tRNA from 1 species